rnacentral:rRNA from 1 species
AGCACGGGAGCAAUCCUGGUGGCGAGUGGCGAACGGGUGAGUAAUAUAUCGGAACGUGCCCAGUAAUGGGGGAUAGCCCGGCGAAAGCCGGAUUAAUACCGCAUACGACCUACGGGUGAAAGCGGGGGAUCGCAAGACCUCGCGUUAUUGGAGCGGCCGAUAUCAGAUUAGCUAGUUGGUGGGGUAAAGGCCUACCAAGGCGACGAUCUGUAGCUGGUCUGAGAGGACGACCAGCCACACUGGGACUGAGACACG